GGCAGUCCUAAGCAAAGCUUUAGCUGUAAUUGGUACAAGUAAAAUGGAAGGAAUUCACAGGAAGUGACGAAAAGAAAUUAUCUUUAAAAAUUCCAAGAACUUCCUGGGAAGAUGUCUUUAGUCUUGAACUUGAUCUUGAAGGAGUUCCAGCUUGGGACCUUGGACUUUUCUUGGAUUUUUUCCCUUAGAACUACCACAUGGGAGACACUCCAUCUUCCAGCACUGGGUAUUUUUACUGAACUGCCCCUCAUUCCUGAAAUUCUCUACCAUCUAUUGGAUUCCGAAUCUUUGUUAAAGUUCCAGGUAAAAUCUUAUUCUUUAUAAUUUUCCUGUCCCCUUUAAUAUUAGUGUCUUUCUUCUGUUGAUUAUUUCCAAUUUAUCCUGAAUAUAGCUUCUUACAUAAUUAUUUGCAUGCUCUCUCUCCCCAUUAGAUAGAUCCUUUUGAGAGGAGAUCUUUUAGUUUUCACUCUUUUCUUUGUAUUCUAGAAUACCUG
rnacentral:lncRNA from 1 species